UUUUAAGAGAGAGAGAGAAUUUUUUAAUAUUUAUUUAUUUUUUAGUUUUUGGCGGACACAACAUCUUUGUUUGUAUGUGGUGCUGAGGAUCGAACCUGGGCCGCAUGCAUGCCAGACGAUUGCGCUACCGCUUGAGCCACAUCCCAAGCCCCGGAACAGAUUAUUCUUGAACCAUAAGAGGAGGUUGCACAAAGAACCAGUCAUCCCAGAAGAAACGGAGGAACAAAAACUUACAGCCUGGGAGUAAAUUCAGCGUCAAAGAAAUGCAAAUAAAGUUUCAGAAAACAGCUUUAUUGACAUACACUUGUACAAUUUUCAAUUGUACAGUUUGGUUAGUUCUGACAAGUGGGAAGCCAUCACCCAGUGAGCAGAUCCAGCUCUCCCAAGACUCCUUCUUGACCCUUUGUGAUCCCUCCCUCACUCCACAUCCCUCCCACCCCCAUCCUCAGGUAACCACCAAUUUGCUUUUAAUUAGUCACUAUAGGCUCAUUUUCAUGUCCUAGAAUUAUAGAUAAGUGGAUUUAUACAGAAUAUGCUCUUUUGUGUGGCUUCUAUUGUGAAAUUCAUCCGUGCUGCUCUGUGUACCAGUAGUUCGUUUUCAUUGAAGUAAUAUCCCAUUAUGUGGAUAGACUACAACUUCCAUUCACUUACCUGCUAGGAUAUAUUUGGGCUGUUUCCACUUU
rnacentral:lncRNA from 1 species